AAACAGUAUGAUGAGUGAAAAAUGGUCGGGCAUUAAGUUACCAUGGUUAAGAGGACUUAAUCAAAAUUGUUAGGUGCUAGGGAGGUUUAGUGCAAAAGCAUACAGUUUGCUGAAACAAGGAGAUGCAUGAUGCCUUGUUUGGUUCAUUGACACUUUGGUUGUUCUCUGGUGGAUGGCUUUCCAUGCUAUUAUAGGAUUGGGAUG
rnacentral:misc_RNA from 1 species